rnacentral:lncRNA from 1 species
UAUAAUUGCAUUCAUAAUUCAGCCAAAAAAGUCACUAGCCACAAAAGGGCCAUUACAAUAACGGAGCGGUCUAAUAUCAAAAUUAAGACAAUCUGGUGUGUCUCCACUAACGAUCAUGCAGGAUCGAAGAAACUCUAGCAUAGGCAUCCUAACUAAGAUUGCAAAUUCAGAAUAAUAAAAAAGAGAUAAAGCUUGAAAAAACUAAGUCAUAACAAGACAAAUAAAACUCUCACAAAGGAGAGAUGAAAAGCUCCCACGAAGGAGAGAUGAAAAACUCUCACAAAAGGAUAGAUGAAAAC